rnacentral:rRNA from 1 species
UAAACAUUUAUAUAUAUAAUUUACCCAACCAUCUAAAAUUAAGCAAAGAUGGUUGGGUAAAUUAUGGGCGCGCGGGGGCGCGCGGGGGCGCGCGGGGGGCACUGGCAAGCUGAUUAAUUCUUUGAAUUUUACACAGUUUUAGUAUUUUUUAUAAAAAAAUCAAUAAAAGUUUGAUUCUGUCUUAUAAAAUUUGGGUACUAAGAUUUAUAUGAAAAUUGGUGGCAGUAGAUAAAAUUAUGGAAAUUACGGUCAUGGUUUAGUUGUAGCGGAAAAGGUGCCAGCAGCUGCGGUUAGACCUUGGGAUAAGAUUUGUUAGGUAGUUUUAGGGGAUUUAUAGAAGCAGUGAAAUGUGAGUCGGUAUUAAAAUUAUAAAUUUAAAGAGUAUAAAGACCUGGAUUAGAGACCCAGUUAUGAAAAAUGUAUUAGUAGUUAAUUGAGAAAAACUUGAAGGAUUUGGCGGUAAAUCAAUUAUUAGAGGAACUUGUUCUAUAAAUGAUAGCCCACAGUUAAUUUUCUUUUAUAAACUCAUAUAUCGUUGAAUUAAGUAAAAAUUUUUAAUGUUUAUAUGAGGUUUUAAAUCGAAGUCAGAUCAAGGUGUGGGGUUUAAAAGUUUGAAAUGAGUUAUAUUAGAGGGCUUAAGACUAUGAAAAAUAAAAUUAAUUUAAAGGUAAAAUUGAAAUAAAUAAAAUUUGAUUAAAUAAAGUUUAUGCACAUAUCGCCCGUCACUCUCGUAAAUAAAUGAGAUAAGUCGUAACAAAGUAGGGGUGCUGGAAGGGGUUCCUAGAGAUAA